UACGUAAAGGGCGAGCAUUAUCCGGAUUUAUUGGGCAUAAAGGGCGUGUAGGCGGUAUUCUAAGUCAGAUGUUAAAAUCUUCAGCUUAACUGAAGCUCGCAUCUGAUACUGGAAUACUAGAGAUCAAGAGAGGAAAGCGGAACUCAAGGUGUAGCGGUGAAAUGCGUAGAUAUCUUGAGGAACACCAGUUGCGAAGGCGGCUUUCUGGCUUGAAUCUGACGCUGAGGCGCGAAAGCAUGGGGAGC
rnacentral:rRNA from 1 species